rnacentral:rRNA from 1 species
UACGGAGGGUGCAAGCGUUAAUCGGAAUUACUGGGCGUAAAGCGCACGCAGGUGGCUGAGUCAGUCGAUUGUGAAAGCCCUGGGCUUAACCUGGGAAUUGCAGUCGAUACUACUCGGCUCGAGUAUGGGAGAGGUAAGUGGAAUUCCUAGUGUAGCGGUGAAAUGCGUAGAUAUCGGGAAGAACACCCGUGGCGAAGGCGGUUCUCUGGGACGGUACUGACGCUGAGACGCGAAAGCGUGGGGAGCGAACGGG